rnacentral:rRNA from 1 species
GUGAUAUGGAGCAAAACCCUAAAAAGCGGUCUCAGUUCGGAUUGAAGGCUGAAAUUCGCCUUCAUGAAGCUGGAAUUGCUAGUAAUGGCAGGUCAGCAUACUGCCGUGAAUACGUUCCCGGGCCUUGUACACACCGCCCGUCACACCAUGAGAGUUGGAAAUACCCGAAGCCUGUGAGCUAACAGUAAUGAGGCAGCAGUCGAAGGUAGAGCCAAUGAUUGGGGUGAAGUCGUAACAAGGUACC